rnacentral:rRNA from 1 species
GUGGAUUAAUUCGAUGCAACGCGAAGAACCUUACCUGGGCUUGACAUGCACCGGAUCGCUGCAGAGAUGUAGUUUCCCUUGUGGCUGGUGUACAGGUGGUGCAUGGUUGUCGUCAGCUCGUGUCGUGAGAUGUUGGGUUAAGUCCCGCAACGAGCGCAACCCUUGUCUUAUGUUGCCAGCAUUUGGUUGGGGACUCAUGAGAGACUGCCGGGGUUAACUCGGAGGAAGGUGGGG